GACAGGAUUUACCCUACUUGAACGGAUCCGACGUCAGGGACGAGCCUAGGGGCACGAACCGGAUUAGAUACCCGGGUAGUCCUAGGUGUAAACGCUGUGACUUGUGUUGGGGAUUCUCCGAGGAUUCUCAGUNCCGANGCGAAGUUGAUAAGUCCACUGCCUGGGGAGUACGGUCGCAAGGCUGAAACUUAAAGGAAUUGGCGGGGGAGCACCGCAACCUGAGGANUGUGCGGUUUAAUUGGAUUCAACGCCGGAAAACUCACCAGUGCCGACGGACAGAUGAAAGCCAGUGUGAUGAGCUUGCUGGAUUGUUCGAGAGGUAGUGCAUGGCCGCCGUCAGUUCGUACCGUAAGGCGUUCUGUUAAGUCAGAUAACGAACGAGACCCUCAUCCCUAUUUGCUAAGGUUUCUCCCUUCGGGGCGAGAUCACAGGACUAUAGGGAGACCGCUGGCGAGAAGUCAGAGGAAGGUGAGGGCAACGGUAGGUCAGUAUGCUCCGAAUGCACUGGGCUACACGCGCAAUACAAAGGACGGGACAAUGGGCCGCUGCUCCGAGAGGAAAGAUGGCUAUCCCGAAACCCGUUCGUAGUUCGGAUUGAGGGCUGUAACUCGCCCUCAUGAAGCUGGAUUAGGUAGUAAUCGCGUCUCAAAAAGGCGCGGUGAAUAUGCCCCUGCUCCUUGCGCACACCGCCCGUCAAACCAUCUUAGUUGGGGGUGGNUGAGNCUGCCUUUUAG
rnacentral:rRNA from 1 species